CCAUAGUGGUUGUACCAAUUUGGCAGGAUUUUUUUAAAAAGCACUUUAUUGAGGAACCACAGUGAAACAAGUGACUGAUCAAGAGAUUUAUGCAUUUCCAAAGGAUACGUGGCUGGAGGACGUUGGGCCAUGGGCAAGAGGGAAAACAAGGACUCAUGGAAAACAAUAGGUAUAUAUUCUG